rnacentral:rRNA from 1 species
AGAGUUUGAUCCUGGCUCAGAAUCAACGCUGGCGGCGUGCCUAACACAUGCAAGUCGAACGCGACUUGGGCUUCGGCCUAAGUUGAGUGGCGAACGGGUGAGUAACACGUGGGUGACCUACCUUCGAGUGGGGGAUAACGUCCCGAAAGGGACGCUAAUACCGCAUAACAUCCUGCCUUUGAACAGGUGGAGAUCAAAGCCGGGGAUCGCAAGACCUGGCGCUUGAUGAGGGGCCCGCGCCUGAUUAGCUAGUUGGUGGGGUAAUGGCUCACCAAGGCGACGAUCAGUAUCCGGCCUGAGAGGGCGGACGGACACACUGGGACUGAGACACGGCCCAGACUCCUACGGGAGGCAGCAGUGGGGAAUUGUUCGCAAUGGGCGCAAGCCUGACGACGCAACGCCGCGUGGAGGAUGAAGGUCUUCGGAUUGUAAACUCCUGUUGCUCGGGACGAAAAGCUCCGACCUAACACGUCGGAGUCUGACGGUACCGAGUGAGGAAGCCCCGGCUAACUCUGUGCCAGCAGCCGCGGUAAUUC